GUUCCACUAACUCCGGGACAAACUCUUUCGUGCAAAAGACACCAAACUCAUAUUCUUGGUGUAGAUGCCUUUGUGACGCUGCUCACCUUUUCCCCUGAAGGUGUCAAGUGAUCUCUACCAUAAACUCUACCCACCCUUCUGCAUGGCUGCUCAUGUAUCUUGACUAAAUUCUCUCAUCUAAGGCACAAGGGACCAAGGACCCAGCUUCCUCGUGGCAGCAGAGACCCUAGAGAUUAAUAACAAACCCAAAACCUUUUCGGAAACCUGCAGAGUAAUGAGGCCUGAGCUACAUUCUGGGGAUACUUCGGUUGCUUUGAUCAGGCAGAUGGUGUUCAGAAGGUGUGCGCUACAUCUGGGACCAGCAGUGUUCCCCGAUCUUCUCUCUUCACUUCUCCAGGCAGAGUUUUCAUAAGGACAGCUUGGAGCUCAGGUGCUUUCCCAGCUGUCAGGCGGCUGCUAUGCUAAUCGCUGUGCUAAUAAUCCACACCAGUGGUGGCCUGAGAAGUGGGAGGCAGACUGGCUUAUGGGUAGCAUUUGCAGGGACCCCAGAGUAUCCUGGCGACUGUGCUGGUAGAGAAGGGGAAGAAGAAAUGCUGUGUGUUAUUGCUCACCUGGAUCUGUGAAUUAGUGGCCCUGUGGUCUACAAGGCUUGCAGGAGAGAAAACUUGGGUACACGUUCAGCAGAAAUUGAGGAGAAGGAUUUUGGGAUACUCCAGAUUCAAUAAA